rnacentral:tRNA from 1 species
GGGGAUUUAGCUCAGUGGUAUAAGUGCCUGCCUUGCAAGCAGGCAGUUGUGAAUUUGAUCCCCG